rnacentral:rRNA from 1 species
GACGAACGCUGGCGGCGUGCUUAACACAUGCAAGUCGAGCGGUAAGGCCCUUUCGGGGGUACACGAGCGGCGAACGGGUGAGUAACACGUGGGUGACCUGCCCUUAGCUCUGGGAUAAGCCUGGGAAACUGGGUCUAAUACCGGAUAUGACUCCAUAACGCAUGUUGUGGGGUGGAAAGCCUUGUGCGGCUAGGGAUGGGCCCGCGGCCUAUCAGCUUGUUGGUGGGGUGAUGG